UCUACAGAUUGUAUUAUAUUUAAUUGAUGAGAGUAAAAUAAAUAUCUAGCCACAUACAGCCCAAACUUUCUGUCAACUUUCAAAGCAAACCACAAUAAGAAAUGAAGGAGCUAGACAAAAAAUAGACAAAGAUAUAAAUACAUGUAUGUACACAAAUCAAUUAUUUCUGUUACAACUCCAUACAUUCAAGGACUUGGUGGGUAUUGAGCAGUUAAAACUCACAUUCAAAAGAUCAUGGCCUAGUAUUGUUUUUUUUAUUUCUUGGUUCUGACACCACCACCCCGCCUCUAUUCUAUAGCCUGACAUAUUUUUGUAUUUGGAUGUAUUGAUUCUAGUUCUUUGGAAAUACUACCAGCAAUGUGACAUACUGCCAGCACAUUGCUAGCAAGUGAAAGAAAAAUUAUUGAAUGGUGUUCAACUUUUCAGGUUUGUGAACGCACCCCCACCCCCCAACCCAAAUCAAAAGUUAAAAAAAAAUUGUUGAUAGCAAACAAGAGAUUAACAAGUGGUCUGGUUGACUUAGGAGA